rnacentral:rRNA from 1 species
GUGGAUUAGAUACCCGGGUAGUCCACGCCCUAAACGAUGUCUACUAGUUGUCGGGUCUUAAUUGACUUGGUAACGCAGCUAACGCGUGAAGUAGACCGCCUGGGGAGUACGGUCGCAAGAUUAAAACUCAAAGGAAUUGACGGGGACCCGCACAAGCGGUGGAUGAUGUGGAUUAAUUCGAUGCAACGCGAAAAACCUUACCUACCCGUGACAUGUACGGAACCCUGCUGAAAGGUGGGGGUGCUCGAAAGAGAGCCGUAACACAGGUGCUGCACGGCUGUCGUCAGCU